rnacentral:rRNA from 1 species
GACGUAGGGCGCAAGCGUUGAUUCGGAAUUACUAGGGCGUAAAGGCUCGUAGGCGGCCAACUAAGUCAGACGUGAAAAUCCCCUCAGCUUAACUGGGGAACUGCGUCUGAUACUGGAUGGCUUGGAUUUCGGGGAGAGGGAAUGCGGGAAAUUCCAGGUGUAGCGGUGAAAUGCGUAGAUAUCUGGAGGAACACCGGUGGCGAAGGCGGCAAUUCUGGACCGAGUACUUGACGCU